rnacentral:rRNA from 1 species
UACGGGGGGGCAAGCGUUGUUCGGAAUUACUGGGCGUAAAGGGCUCGUAGGCGGCCAACUAAGUCAGACGUGAAAUCCCUCGGCUUAACCGGGGAACUGCGUCUGAUACUGGAUGGCUCGAGUUUGGGAGAGGGAUGCGGAAUUCCAGUGUAGCGGUGAAAUGCGUAGAUAUCUGGAGGAACACCGGUGGCGAAGGCGGCAUCCUGGACCAACACGUGACGCUGACGGAGCGAAAGCCAGGGGAGCCAAAGCGGG